rnacentral:rRNA from 1 species
UACGGAGGGUGCAAGCGUUAUCCGGAUUUACUGGGUUUAAAGGGUGUGUAGGCGGGUCUUUAAGUCAGUGGUGAAAUCUCCGAGCUUAACUUGGAAACUGCCAUUGAUACUAUUGAUCUUGAAUUUUGUUGAGGUAGGCGGAAUAAGUCAUGUAGCGGUGAAAUGCAUAGAUAUGACUUAGAACACCAAUUGCGAAGGCAGCUUGCUAAACAAAUAUUGACGCUGAGGCACGAAAAGCGUGGGGAUCAAACAGG